rnacentral:misc_RNA from 1 species
UGCGGGGCCCAUCCUUUUAUAAUGAAACCUCUGUCAGCCACACGAUCUUCAAAUCCGUCUGGCAAGUCACCGUAAUCGCUUGACGUUCUCCGUUGCUCCACUGGUUGCCUAACGCACCAUAUAAAAUGGACUCCGCUUUUAUCUAGGGCAGCUGCCAGCUCAUCCAUUUGCUUACACGUCAGAGCUGUUCGGCUUCCAAAGCAAACAUACACGACUGAAUGGUCUUUACAGGAAUAAAGCCAUGUCAGCACAUCAUGACAUGGCACGGAGCUGGACCCACCACGGUUAGC